ensembl:lncRNA
UCGGAUCCCAUGUUGCUGUGGCUCUGGCAUAGACUGGUGGCUACAGCUCCGAUUAGACCCCUAGCCUGGGAAUCUCCAUAUGCCUCUGGAGCGGCCCAAGAAAUGGCAAAAAGACAAAAAAAAAAAAAAAGAAGAAGGAACUUGCAUUCUCUUUAGGGUUCUUAUCCUCAAAAAAAAAAAAAAAAAAAAAAAAAAAAAAACCCAGCAAAAGAAGGCCCUAAGGACUGUUCUGUUCUAUAGUUUAAAGAAAUGAGGUUGAAAGCCAUUGCUCCCCCCUCCCCCACACCUUUGCUGUCGUUUCUAAGGAACCACAACUCUCCUGGUGGCUCCUUUAUCUUAAUUCGCUGUUGUUUACACCUGUUUGUCUUCUGCCCUUUUUCCUUUCCUUCCUAAGUGAAUUCUUCAACACUACAAGUUAUUUUUUCAGGUGUUCGAGGCAAUACUUUGGACAUUCCUCAUCCCAUCACCUUUGCUUUAAAUAAGUAACGGGGAAUGUGUUGGGGGAUUAAUGGAGUACACAGUUAUAAGCCAUCUGGUGGCUAAAUACCUUUGCAGGUUCUUAUAGCAAGACAUGUGAGAGACCUCAGCAUUAAGCUGUGGUCAUCACAUGAGUUCCCCUUAGCCAAGCUAUUUUAAAGUUUAUGCAUGCACAUGCAACAGAGAAAUGAUAUAUUAAGAUGAAAGACCACUGCAGUUUGAGAAAGUUCCUUCGAAAAGCUAACCUGGAAAUUAAGGGAUAAUUCUCCCCUUACUCCCUAGUAUAUGGGAAUUUUGCAACCCUCUCUCCCAGUCCCAGCUUAAUCCUUAGGCAGCAGCUCUGUCUGGUAAGGAGUUGGAACUUACCGGGGGAGGAGGGGGGCUGACCAGGGCCAGAUGAAAAGAGAAGGGACAAGGGGGAGAGACAGAGACAGAGAGACAAAGGAGAAGAGAACUCAGUGGGAAAUUCCUCACAUUUCUUAAAAAUUUUCUCUGUGCAAAAUCCUUUCCUUUCCAGACCUCCAAGUACCGGAGGCGCCAGAGGGAAAGGGAGCGCUCUGUGCCUGAGUGGCUCACUGAGAGCCGAGGGAGGUCCCAGGGCCAGGAGAGGAUCGAAGUAACACUGCAGGCACCUUUUCCUUUUAAGCUGCUCCUUGCCAACCCCCAAUCCACUCACCUUAUUUCAACACUGGAUAAAAACAAGGCUGACUCCUUCUUAAGCCGUGGUUCUGCUUUGUCCACUUUAGCCACAGCUAAAAGUCCGAUUAUUCUAAAGCUCAGAGAGUGCCCUCCUCAGUGUCCUGGUAUGUGGGGGGGCGGGGGAGGCGAAGGAGAAGGACCGUCUAUACCACUCAAAGGUCUUUCUUCCCUUAGGAGCUUGGAGUUGAAAGUUGAGAGAGAACCCCAGGUCCCCUACAGAAAAUGUGUUGCAAGCCCUGUGGAAGGAGUCAACUUUCAGGCUCUUAAAGACCUCAAGUCAUUAGCAUCAGCUGCUGCACCAAAGGGCAAGCCAGCGCCUCUAAGUGGCUUAGCGCGCAAACGAGGCUCCGGAGACGGCCUCGGCCACUCCAUNNNNNNNNNNNGGGACGUGAGAAGCUCUCCGGAGCCCAUCUCGGCAGUAGGCAGAGCCUACGCGACCGCGAGCCCGACACCUCCGGACAUGGACGUACACGGACGGAUACAAUAGGCUCGAGAAACCCUCGAUCGCAGUUCCCGGCUCCAGGUGGCCUUAUUUGGGCGACUGGAUCCUGACCUGGUUCUGGGUACGUCUCUUCGCAUCCGCGGGGGAGGG